rnacentral:lncRNA from 1 species
GCAGCUACACGCUGUACGACAUUUACCCUGGCGGCUGUUUGUGGAACUUCACCACGGCCAAGGCAAUCUGCGAGCAGGACGGUCUGCAGCUAGCACCUCACGGCGAGGCGCAGUCACUGGGUGAGCACAAUGGCAUAGAGCAUAUCAGCGAACUCCUCCGCCCCUCACUGAUACUAGGACUGCGUAAGAGCGGCACCUCAUUACAUCAUAUAUGCUGUUUUACUCGGUUUGCUGCACAUUGCGUGCACAAGCGCCGUCAUUGUAUCUACAACGUGCAUCCAUGCAUGCUCGCUCGCCCGCAGCCGUCCUCCGGGAGCUGUGCGCCAAGAACCGCUACACGUGUUGGAUGGACGGGGUGCCAGCAGACCCCUCCGCCGACCUGUGCUACCUGAUGAGCCAGGAGGGAGACGUGCACCUGCAGGGCUGCGACCAGCCCGUCCGCUUCGUGUGCCGUGACCAGGUGAGUGAGCGGUACAGCCGGUGCUGCACACGUGACUACUUGAUACUGUAUGCAUGCUUGUCGUAAUGACGCUGCUGACCGAUGAAACAAUAAAACUGAGAAGUUGGCAAGUUACCGCGGGGACGGCAGCCGCGGCUCGUUACAUAUCAGCUGCGACCAGCACGUCUGGCUGGAUAGAUAGCACCAAACGUCAAGGCGCACGAACGCGCUGCGGUGAAUGCUGCAGCACCAAAGACGCAACUCGCAUCCACGUUGCUAUCGCCAGCCUUGUAGGCGUCGCACUAGUAGCCAGCAGUCUUCAUGCUCUGCCCUCCUGCAGCAGGUGAACUGGCAUGCGUAUGCCUGGAACGUAGAAUCAUACUCGUCAGUACCCUCAUACAUGCAUAUCCAUAUGUAGGUUGCUGUUGCUGUUCGCCCUCCCUUUUGCCCCCCCCCCCCUCGCUCUGCCUCAGCCUUGCUCUAAUCCCUUCACGUACCGCUACAACAAGAUCAAGUACAACAAUACCAAAGAGAGUGGUCGUAUCUACACGCUGUACGACAUUUAUACGGGUGGCUGUUUGUGGAACUUCACCACGGCCAAGGCAAUCUGCAAGCAGGACGGUCUGGAGCUGGCACCUCACGGCGAGGCGCAGUCACUGGGUGAGGAUAUGCAUACCAAUGUAUCUAUGUCAUCAGCAGGAGCCCGCGCUAGAUUAUGAGAGCGGGUCCACGACAUCCACACACGCGCGGCAGGGCAAGAGACUAUGUGUGUGCAAGGCCAGAGGAAUGCAAUUAUUCCUGUUGUAGCGGCUACUCGCGCCCUGCUUGCUUGCUUCUUCGCAGUAAACGUCACACGCAUCACGCACAUCAAUUUCGAAGUGCUCGUUGAUUGCCUGUCCUUGAAAGCACCAUGUAUGCAUGUAUGUGCAUCUUGCUGCCUAAAUGUACGAACGACCCUGCUCGCCUGCAGCCGUCCUCCGGGAGCUGUGCGCCAAGAACCGCUACACGUGUUGGAUGGACGGGGUGCCAGCAGACCCCUCCUCCGACCUGUGCUACCUGAUGAGCCAGGAGGGAGACGUGCACCUGCAGGGCUGCGACCAGCCCGUCCGCUUCGUGUGCCGCCAGAGAGCAGCCGCUGGUACGCAACCCGAUAGCUAGAUGAGUGGCUUGCACGUGCUGGAUGGGCAUAUGUUCGUAUGGGAGGAAUAGUGCGCCUGCGGCAGAUGAUCUACUUGCGUGCUGGGGUUACCAUCC